AUGAUAGGGCUGAGUUGGAACUGUCGAGGAAUUGGAGGCACCUCGACAAUUCGUGAUCUCACCGGCCUCAUUGAAACUCACCGCACACAGUUCAUGUUUUUGUGUGAAACUAGGCAAAAGUCUAAAAGGGUUCGUCGUUUGUGUCAUCGCUUAGGUCUGCGUGGCUUUUGCGGUGUCGACAGUGAAGGUCGGAGUGGUGGCUUAGCUCUGUUUUGGAAUGAUCAGUUA
rnacentral:rRNA from 1 species